rnacentral:misc_RNA from 1 species
UUAUGUAUGUUACAUCAGAACUUUUGACCGGGUGGACCGAUUUCGACAAAUUUUUUUUUAAUCGAAAGGUGGUGUGUGUCAAUUGGUCCCAUUUAAAUUAAUUUGAGAUCUAACAACUACUUUUCGAGUUAUAUCUAAUAAUGCGUUUUUACUUGACGCUUUUUUCGUCGACCUACGUUGUAUUAUACCGCAUAACUUUCUACUGGAUGUACCGAUUUUGAUAAUUCUUUUUUUGUUGGAAAGAAGAUAUACCAAGUUUAGUACCAUGAUAAGAAAACUAGGAUCUGAUGAUGGGAUCCCAGAGAAAUCGAGGGAAACUCUUGAAAAUCCGCAAUAACU